UACAGAGGUCCCAAGCGUUGUUCGGAUUUACUGGGCGUAAAGGGUGCGUAGGCGGUUGGGUAAGUCUGACGUGAAAUCUCCGGGCCUAACCCGGAAACUGCGUUGGAUACUAUCUGACUAGAGGAAUGGAGGGGAGACUGGAAUACUUGGUGUAGCAGUGAAAUGCGUAGAUAUCAAGUGGAACACCAGUGGCGAAGGCGAGUCUCUGGACAUUUCCUGACGCUGAGGCACGAAAGCCAGGGGAGCAAACGGG
rnacentral:rRNA from 1 species